GCUCCCCCAGCGCCUGCCCACAUGGUCACUCCACUGCAGCCCGCACCACCCUCACCACCCGGAAGGCCACGCCCUCCCCUCACACACCUGCCUCCACUGUGUUCAUGAUGUCACCUCUGCCUGAUGUGGGGUGAGGGCUCCAGCCCGUCCCCCCCGGCCAGUGUGGCCUGUCCUCACAGCGGGCAGAGAGCCCAGGGCCCCGGGGGAGCCAGGAAGGAGGCUGGAGGGACUAGGCUCUGGGGGGGCCUGCACCCCAACCCCCUGGACCCCAGCCCUGGUCCCGGCUGACCUCCCAGGUGCCUGUGGACGUACGAGGUCCAGUUCUCCCCGGAUGGCCAGGUGUUUGCGCCCAUCAGCCGGAAGCCGUCCACCUUUAACCUCUUCGUGUUCAGCCCAGACACGGCGGUCGUCUCUGGCUCCUACCGGGUUCGAGCGGUGGACUACUGGGCCCGGCCAGGCCCCUUCUCGAACCCAGUGCAGUACCUGGAGGCCUCUGCCCGGUGAGGGCCCUGCUGUCCAGUGCCUUUGCGCCUGUGCUGACCGGUGGGCUGGACCGGCACCAGCUGUCCGCCGGUUGUCAGAUCUGCUCUCCCCUCCCGCCUGGUCACUCACCCCCUUAAAGUGCCUUUCCACA